rnacentral:tRNA from 1 species
AGCUACUAAGUUUAAAACAUUUGUUUUGAAAACAUUGUCAGGGUGAGGCCCAGUAGUUA